GGCAAGGUAGCUCAGUUGGUUAGAGCGCUGGUCUCAUAAGCCGGAGGUCGAGAGUUCGAGUCUCUCUCUUGCUACCA
rnacentral:tRNA from 1 species